rnacentral:rRNA from 2 species
CAAGGUGAAACCUAAUUGGCCUGAAGAAGAGCUUGCGUCUGAUUAGCUAGUUGGUGGGGUAAAGGCCUACCAAGGCAACGAUCAGUAGCUGGUCUGAGAGGAUGAGCAGCCACACUGGGACUGAGACACGGCCCAGACUCCUACGGGAGGCAGCAGUGGGGAAUUUUCCGCAAUGGGCGAAAGCCUGACGGAGCAACGCCGCGUGAGGGAGGAAGGUCUUUGGAUUGUAAACCUCUUUUCUCAAGGAAGAAGUUCUGACGGUACUUGAGGAAUCAGCCUCGGCUAACUCCGUGCCAGCAGCCGCGGUAAUACGGGGGAGGCAAGCGUUAUCCGGAAUUAUUGGGCGUAAAGCGUCCGCAGGUGGUCAGCCAAGUCUGCC